CGGUGGCCUAACCCCUUGUGGGAGGGAGCCGUCGAAGGUGGGAUCGGCGAUUGGGACGAAGUCGUAACAAGGUAGCCGUACCGGAAGGUGCGGCUGGAUCACCUCCUUUCUAAGGAG
rnacentral:rRNA from 1 species